AGAAACGCACGUGCCAGAGGUUUGCGACCGCAGAUAUGGAUCUGUACACUUUAUUAGGCCCCGUCUCCUGUUGCUGGGGAACUGCCCCAUCAUGAGCGUUUCUCACCGGGACACUGACCCCUGGUUGUUCCUGCAGGUCCACAGACACGCACAGGCCUGAGGGAAUGCCAGCGACACGGAGGAGAGGGACUGGAGACAGGCAGCCGGGGAAAUAAAGGAAAGAAACUUGGUCUAGAGGAAGACCCG
rnacentral:lncRNA from 1 species